rnacentral:rRNA from 1 species
AUUGAACGCUGGCGGCAGGCCUAACACAUGCAAGUCGAACGAGUGGCGGACGGGUGAGUAGUGUCUGGGAAACUGCCUGAUGGAGGGGGAUAACUACUGGAACCGGUAGCUAAUACCGCAUACCAUCAGAUGUGUCCAUAUGGGAUUAGCUUGUUGGUGGGGUAACGGCUCACCAAGGCGACGAUCCCUAGCUGGUCUGAGAGGCUGACCGGCCACACUGGAACUGAGACACGGUCCAGACUCCUACGGGAGGCAGCAGUGGGGAAUAUUGCGCAAUGGGCGCAAGCCUGAUGCAGCCAUGCCGCGUGUGUGAAGAAGGCCUUCGGGUUGUAAAGUACUUUCAGCGGGGAGGCGUUACCCGCAGAAGAAGCCCCGGCUAACUCCGUGCCAGCAGCCGCGGUAAUUC